rnacentral:rRNA from 1 species
GAUGAACGCUGGCGGCGUGCUUAACACAUGCAAGUCUAACGAUGAAGCCCAGCUUGCUGGGUGGAUUAGUGGCGAACGGGUGGGUAACACGUGAGUAACCUGCCCUUAACUCUGGGAUAAGCCUGGGAAACUGGGUCUAAUACCGGAUAGGAGCGCCUACCGCAUGGUGGGUGUUGGAAAGAUUUAUCGGUUUUGGAUGGACUCGCGGCCUAUCAGCUUGUUGGUGAGGUAAUGGCUCACCAAGGCGACGACGGGUAGCCGGCCUGAGAGGGUGACCGGCCACACUGGGACUGAGACACGGCCCAGACUCCUACGGGAGGCAGCAGUGGGGAAUAUUGCACAAUGGGCGAAAGCCUGAUGCAGCGACGCCGCGUGAGGGAUGACGGCCUUCGGGUUGUAAACCUCUUUCAGUAGGGAAGAAGCGAAAGUGACGGUACCUGCAGAAGAAGCACCGGCUAACUACGUG